GUGUUCGCUUCGGCAGCACAUAUACUAAAAUUGGAAUGAUACAGGGAAGAUUAGCAUGGCCCCUGUGUAAGGAAGACAUGCAAAUUUGUGAAGUGUUCCAUAUUAAA
rnacentral:snRNA from 1 species